GUGUCCAGCACUAAGGCGUUGAAUCUCAGGCGAUAAUGCACUAGUCUGUGCAUUCAUUAUAUUGGAAUCAGGAAAUAUUUGUGUUCAGGUCGUGAAUUUGAAGUCGUGUUCUGAUGAGCUAGAAAUGCUCUCAUUAUGCAGUUACUAUUUACUAAAGUGUGAAUUAUCAAGAAUUGGAAGGGAAUUUUACAUUCCAUACCACAAUUUUGCCUAAAAUAUUUAACUCCUCCUGCUAAAUUGCCACUUUAUUACAUAAUUGUGAGCAUUUUGUACACUUUACAACUUCAUUUUCUUAUAGCACUAUACUACACCUGUAUCACAUAUACAGCCAGCACAAAAUUGUACACCUUGCCUCCCCUGUACAGCAUUACUCUUACACCUUAUUAUAUGCACCAACAACUUAUGUUAUGAGUGCCCAAUAGAUAGAUCUCCAGAUGUUUUAAAACUACAUUACUAAAGGCAUUCCAAGGGCAUGUAAAGCAUCAUGGGAGUUAUAGUUCUACAACCUCUAGGUAUCUACCUUUUGGGUACCUCUUCGGCUUAUACCAUUUUGUAGUUCUUAAGCAAUAACUUUUAUUCUUGGUAUUCAAGUUGAGGUAGAGAUUGGUCUAUAAAGUACCAUCGCCAGCCUUCUCAUCCACUCACACACUUCUGUUUUGUCGCAUUUUUUGUAUGCCAUCAAAAUGACUCAAUGGGUUGCUUUCGUCUGUUGGUAAGAUUUGACCUUUUUGUUUUUAGCAGCACACACAAGAUACGCAAAAAAGAGUAAAUUAUCCCAAAUAAGUUUCCUGUUGUUCUGUUGUAUCAGGAUAAAAGAUCACGUGUAGAACCAGAACGAUGGUUUUAUAGCAGUUCAGACAAACCGCAGCUUCUAUGAUACUUGAUUGCCCCACGCCAAG